GCGAGAGUAGUAUAGUGGCAAUACGCUAGCUUCCCAAGCUAGGAACGCGGGUUCGAUUCCCGUCUCUCGCU
rnacentral:tRNA from 1 species